UACAGAGGGUGCAAGCGUUAUUCGGAAUUAUUGGGCAUAAAGCGCAUGUAGGUGGCUUAGUAAGUCUGAUGUGAAAGCCCCGGACUCAAUCCGGGAAGUGCAUUGGAUACUACUAGGCUGGAGUAUGGGAGAGGUAAGCGGAAUUCCAGGUGUAGAGGUGAAAUUCGUAGAUAUCUGGAGGAACAACAGAGGCGAAGGCGGCUUACUGGACCAUUACUGACACUGAGAUGCGAAAGCGUGGGGAGCAAACAGG
rnacentral:rRNA from 1 species